rnacentral:rRNA from 1 species
AGUGAACGCUGGCGGCAGGCCUAACACAUGCAAGUCGAACGGCAGCACGGCAGUAGCAAUACUGUGGGUGGCGAGUGGCGGACGGGUGAGGAAUACAUGGGAAUCUACCCUGUCGUUGGGGAUAACGUAGGGAAACUUACGCUAAUACAGCAUACGACCGAGCGGUGAAAGCGGCGGACCGCAAGGCGUCGCGCGAUCGGAUGAGCCCAGGUCGGAUUGGCUAGUUGGCGGGGUAAAGGCCCACCAAGGCGACGAUCCGUAGCUGGUCUGAGAGGAUGAUCAGCCACACUGGAACUGAGACACGGUCCAGACUCCUACGGGAGGCAGCAGUGGGGAAUAUUGGACAAUGGGCGCAAGCCUGAUCCAGCCAUGCCGCGUGAGUGAAGAAGGCCUUCGGGUUGUAAAGCUCUUUUGUCCGGAAAGAAAAGCUCUCGGUUAAUACCCGGGGGUGAUGACGGUACCGGAAGAAUAAGCACCGGCUAACUUCGUGCCAGCAGCCGCCGUAA